UGAGCCAAGUUUAGGGUUUCUUAAAAACCCAAGCAGUAUUGAACUGAAGAGUUUGAUCAUGGCUCAGAUUGAACGCUGGCGGCAGGCCUAACACAUGCAAGUCGAGCGGAUGAGA
rnacentral:rRNA from 1 species